UACGGAGGGUGCAAGCGUUAUCCGGAUUCACUGGGUUUAAAGGGUGCGUAGGUGGGCAGGUAAGUCAGUGGUGAAAUCUCCGAGCUUAACUCGGAACUGCCGUUGAUACUAUUUGUCUUGAAUAUUGUGGAGGUAAGCGGAAUAUGUCAUGUAGCGGUGAAAUGCUUAGAUAUGACAUAGAACACCAAUUGCGAAGGCAGCUUACUACACAACGAUUGACGCUGAGGCACGAAGCGUGGGGAUCAAACAGG
rnacentral:rRNA from 1 species